GGACGGUACAAAGAGCUGCAAGACCGCGAGGUGGAGCUAAUCUCAUAAAACCGUUCUCAGUUCGGAUUGUAGGCUGCAACUCGCCUACAUGAAGCUGGAAUCGCUAGUAAUCGCGGAUCAGCAUGCCGCGGUGAAUACGUUCCCGGGCCUUGUACACACCGCCCGUCACACCACGAGAGUUUGUAACACCCGAAGUCGGUGGGGUAACCUUUUUGGAGCCACCCGCCUAAGGUGGGACAGAUGAUUGGGGUGAAGUCGUAACAAGGUACCCGUAUCGAAAGGUGCGUU
rnacentral:rRNA from 1 species